AAAAUUGCGUAAUUACAUGAUUACAAUAUGUGUCACAUUAUUCCUCAUUUCUAAUGCUCCGCAUCGACGCCCAUGCAUUUAUCCUACGUACGUCCUGUGCUUCGAAUAAGUGUUCAACUUAUACGUACAUAUGUGGCUGACCGUGGAGUUAAAAUAAAAGGCAUAUUAGAGAUCUGUUUCUGUCCAAGACACGACAACCAACUCGGCUGAACCCGUCGUUCUCCAUCUAAUUGUCUUAAUACCGACGUGAUUUACUCCCCCGUACCGUGUCACUUCUGACAAUCACUUCUCGUAUACAUAUCAAGCAUGUACACCUAGCAUGAUUGCGUACGUUCUACAUUUUAACAAUCAAUAGUUCCAGUUUCUGCCGGUGGUUAAGAAACUUUAAACUGACUACCGGUGCAGCGAACCCUUGCGCAAGGCGAUUUUUCUUUUGAUCGUCCCACGAUCGUGAAACUGGAUUGUACGGAAGGUCACAUGAAGCACAUCGUCAGUGUAUGAGUUGAAAAGAGACUGGUCGGUAUGCCCCCUGAGCGAGAAACCACUUCUGGCUGGCAAUUAAGGAACCAGCGAAUGUAUAUGACCUGAGCUUGGUGAGGAAGAACGUCUUCUAUGCGUUCCAAGAAAAGCGGGAUACCAACGAAACGUGCUCGCGCAAUAUAUGGCGUACAAGUACUCCGUUCAUCUGUGGUUAUCGCCCUCUUGUCCCCUCUGCGUAUCGGCUUUCGUGAAGUCGAGGUAUUUCCACGAUAAAAAAUUUUACCAGAAUUCACUUAUCGGGCGUGUAGGUCGAACAAGAACGCGCCAUGACUAUUGGUCAACGUUGAAGUUCGUUAGCGCGCGUUUUUUUUUUUUUCUUUCCCCUCCAUAACGGUUAACCGUUCCUCGGCUCGUGCACACGCACACGAACAUCGUACACACCAUGUUUUGCAUCUGAUUCGUUUGAAUCGAUAUUCUUGCCUACUCACAGUCGUGGUUUAAUCGCCACGUUACAAAGAUUAAUCGUUCGCUAGAUACGAGAGACAAGUUAUCGGGUAAUAUAUGUGUGUCGUGGUAAAUUUACAUGGCAAUGGUAGUAACACGGUUUACAUAGGAAAUACGAGAUUACUCUCGAGUUUAAUCCCGAGCGGGGCUUCAUCUCUUUCUGCUUAAUCCCGUUGUUACAAACGAUUAGCAACAUUAUCUCGGGGGCGGUAUAAUAUUUAUCAUUCCCAUGGCUGUAGGGCGAGAACUGUGAGCAGGGAAAUGCGGAAUAGCAGCGGAUUCUGCAUACUACAGGUAUACACGUUUGAAAAUAUCCUUGUGAGCAGCGGAACGAUACAGAUGGGGCGACGUUGGUAGCGGCAACCCCGCGCCGCGUUGCUUGCACGAAGCGAAGGUUGCUGCUACGUGGACUCGGAGGGAUGGUAGAGAGGCACAGACACAGAAGAGGGAAGAGGUUGUGUCGUGGAGCGAGUAGAGCGGUCGUGGCUCUGGCAGCAGCAACACGUAGUACACGGUAGCACCGCGACGAGGACGCACACGGUUCGUAUCACGUCGCUUCGGUAGUCAGUAGACUCGCUUCGAGCCAGUCUCACUUCGGUCCAGUGGCGCAGCCGCGUUACGCGAUACAUUUUUUCGUAUCUCCAACCACUACCAGCGGCAUCAUCACCGCUACACCACCACUACUAUCACCAGCGUCGCUGUUACCACCGCUACCACCACCUGCACCGUCGAGCGUGUCAACAUAUACGUAAACGUCAGCAGGACUACAGAGCCACAGUCGGGUUGUUCCUG